rnacentral:rRNA from 1 species
GUGUCAGCAGCCGCGGUAAUACAGAGGGUGCGAGCGUUGUUCGGAAUUACUGGGCGUAAAGCGCGUGUAGGCGGCGGGAUAAGUCGCAUGUGAAAGCCCUCGGCUCAACCGAGGAAGUGCAUGCGAUACUGUUUCGCUUGAAUGCCGGAGGGGAUGGCGGAAUUCCCGGUGUAGAGGUGAAAUUCGUAGAUAUCGGGAGGAACACCUGUGGCGAAGGCGGCCAUCUGGACGGCAAUUGACGCUGAGACGCGAAAGCGUGGGUAGCAAACAGGAUUAGAUACCCUGGUAGUCC